rnacentral:snoRNA from 1 species
GCAUGGUAAUGGGCUCAUGGGGGUGUGCUUCUCUGUGGGCCUCAUAGAGUGCCCAUGCCAGUGUAAACUUCAGCCUUGAACCAUUGCCCUGCCUCCUUACCCACAGGCUGUGAGUACUAAAGGGGAUUGCAAAAAA